CUGGCUCAGGAUGAACGCUGGCGGCGUGCUUAACACGUGCAAGUCGAACGAAGCACUGAAGAAUGGAGAUUCGUCAAAGUUCUCUUGACUGAGUGGCGAACAGGUGAGUAAUGCGUGAGCAACCUGCCCUUCAGAGGGGGACAACAGUUGGAAACGACUGCUAAUACCGCAUGACGUGUUUGGAUGGCAUCAUCUGAAUACCAAAGGAGAAAUCCGCUGAAGGAUGGGCUCACGUCUGAUUAGCUAGUUGGCGGGGCAACGGCCCACCAAGGCGACGAUCAGUAGCCGGACUGAGAGGUUGAACGGCCACAUUGGGACUGAGAUACGGCCCAGACUCCUACGGGAGGCAGCAGUGGGGAAUAUUGGGCAAUGGGGACCGAAAGCCUGACCCAGCAACGCCGCGUGAAGGAAGAAGGCCUUCGGGUUGUAAACUUCUUUUAACAGGGACGAAGAAGUGACGGUACCUGUUGAAUAAGCCACGGCUAACUACGUGCCAGCAGCGGC
rnacentral:rRNA from 1 species